UCUCCCACUGGUAGCUCCUUCAAAAAAUGUACAGGAUCAUCACACUGAUUUCACAUUAACUUGAAGGAUUGGAAAACCAACAGGCUUUUCCAUUUAACUAUAACAAAAACUUCACCUAAUAAAAAUAACUCAAUAAAACAUAAUUUAAAAAACCACAGUUUGAGUAAUGCUAUAAAGAUGGAUUCAUCCCUGAGUUGAAAUUAUCACAUUGCCAACAAUGAUUUGCUCAUUUGGAUUUGUUUUGAUAAAAAAUGAAUGGUGUUAUAGGCACUUGGCAGCAGAGUGUCCUGGCUUUGGUUCCUUUGGCAGACAGAUUAUAUCAGUCAGCAGGGAUUUAGACAUCAGGCCAACAGCUCUGAUGCACAAGGGUCAAACUUGAACACCCCCACACUUUGGCUCUGCAGAACCUGGCAACCCUGCGCUCUAACUGUGGGUCAGCCCCCACCUGUGGGUGGUGGGAGGGAUUAGAAAAGGAACAAAUGUUUGAAUGUGCUUUUGUAAAUAAAAUUCUUAUUUAAUCUUUU